rnacentral:rRNA from 1 species
GAUGAACGCUGGCGGCGUGCCUAAUACAUGCAAGUCGAGCGAACGGACGAGAAGCUUGCUUUUCUGAUGUUAGCGGCGGACGGGUGAGUAACACGUGGAUAACCUACCUAUAAGACUGGGAUAACUUCGGGAAACCGGAGCUAAUACCGGAUAAUAUUUUGAACCGCAUGGUUCAAAAGUGAAAGACGGUCUUGCUGUCACUUAUAGAUGGAUCCGCGCUGCAUUAGCUAGUUGGUAAGGUAACGGCUUACCAAGGCAACGAUGCAUAGCCGACCUGAGAGGGUGAUCGGCCACACUGGAACUGAGACACGGUCCAGACUCCUACGGGAGGCAGCAGUAGGGAAUCUUCCGCAAUGGGCGAAAGCCUGACGGAGCAACGCCGCGUGAGUGAUGAAGGUCUUCGGAUCGUAAAACUCUGUUAUUAGGGAAGAACAUAUGUGUAAGUAACUGUGCACAUCUUGACGGUACCUAAUCAGAAAGCCACGGCUAACUACGUGCCAGCAGCCGCGGUAAUACGUAGGUGGCAAGCGUUAUCCGGAAUUAUUGGGCGUAAAGCGCGCGUAGGCGGUUUUUUAAGUCUGAUGUGAAAGCCCACGGCUCAACCGUGGAGGGUCAUUGGAAACUGGAAAACUUGAGUGCAGAAGAGGAAAGUGGAAUUCCAUGUGUAGCGGUGAAAUGCGCAGAGAUAUGGAGGAACACCAGUGGCGAAGGCGACUUUCUGGUAUGUAACUGACGCUGAUGUGCGAAAGCGUGGGGAUCAAACAGGAUUAGAUACCCUGGUAGUCCACGCCGUAAACGAUGAGUGCUAAGUGUUAGGGGGUUUCCGCCCCUUAGUGCUGCAGCUAACGCAUUAAGCACUCCGCCUGGGGAGUACGACCGCAAGGUUGAAACUCAAAGGAAUUGACGGGGACCCGCACAAGCGGUGGAGCAUGUGGUUUAAUUCGAAGCAACGCGAAGAACCUUACCAAAUCUUGACAUCCUUUGACAACUCUAGAGAUAGAGCCUUCCCCUUCGGGGGACAAAGUGACAGGUGGUGCAUGGUUGUCGUCAGCUCGUGUCGUGAGAUGUUGGGUUAAGUCCCGCAACGAGCGCAACCCUUAAGCUUAGUUGCCAUCAUUAAGUUGGGCACUCUAAGUUGACUGCCGGUGACAAACCGGAGGAAGGUGGGGAUGACGUCAAAUCAUCAUGCCCCUUAUGAUUUGGGCUACACACGUGCUACAAUGGACAAUACAAAGGGCAGCGAAACCGCGAGGUCAAGCAAAUCCCAUAAAGUUGUUCUCAGUUCGGAUUGUAGUCUGCAACUCGACUACAUGAAGCUGGAAUCGCUAGUAAUCGUAGAUCAGCAUGCUACGGUGAAUACGUUCCCGGGUCU